rnacentral:tRNA from 1 species
AAGGGAGACCUAGUUCAGGUAGGAGACGAAAAAAAAGUAGUCCCUACCAAGAAUCAAUCCCAAAAGGUCGGAGCGAGGCAAAAUUGGCUUUCAAACUAGGUUCUGGGUUCACACAAGACCUGAAUCAGGAACAAGGGCUAUUAGCUCAGGUGGUUAGAGCGCACCCCUGAUAAGGGUGAGGUCCCUGGUUCGAGUCCAGGAUGGCCCACCUGUACAGGUGGCAAAAAGAAAGAAAAGAAGCGAGGAAUCAGCACCUUAUCUUACUGACAUAGUAAGAGAGAAUGCUGGCUCUGAGUAAAGAGUCCAGAGGAACCUUGAAAACUGCAUAGAGCUAGGUGAAAAAGCCAAAAAAGAAGACCGCAAGGUCAAGCUAAUAAGGGCUAACGGUGGAUACCUAGGCAC